rnacentral:rRNA from 1 species
GUGCCAGCAGCCGCGGUAAUACGGAAGGUCCGGGCGUUAUCCGGAUUUAUUGGGUUUAAAGGGAGCGUAGGCCGUCGUUUAAGCGUGUUGUGAAAUGUAGGCGCCCAACGUCUGCACUGCAGCGCGAACUGGAUGACUUGAGUACGCGGGAAGCAGGCGGAAUUCGUCGUGUAGCGGUGAAAUGCUUAGAUAUGACGAAGAACUCCGAUUGCGAAGGCAGCCUGCUGUAGCGCCACUGACGCUGAUGCUCGAAAGCGUGGGUAUCGAACAGGAUUAGAUACCCUGGUAGUCCACGCGGUAAACGAUGGAUGCUCGCUGUGUGCCUAUUAGGUACGUGGCCAAGGGAAACCAUUAAGCAUCCCACCUGGGGAGUACGCCGGCAACGGUGAAACUCAAAGGAAUUGACGGGGGCCCGCACAAGCGGAGGAACAUGUGGUUUAAUUCGAUGAUACGCGAGGAACCUUACCCGGGCUUGAACUGCAGCAGACGGAUUCAGAGAUGAUGACUCCCUUCGGGGCUGCUGUGGAGGUGCUGCAUGGUUGUCGUCAGCUCGUGCCGUGAGGUGUCGGCUUAAGUGCCAUAACGAGCGCAACCCCUUUCGUUAGUUGCCAUCAGGUGAAGCUGGGCACUCUGGCGAUACUGCCACCGUAAGGUGUGAGGAAGGUGGGGAUGACGUCAAAUCAGCACGGCCCUUACGUCCGGGGCUACACACGUGUUACAAUGGCGCAUACAGAGAGCCGGUCUCAUGCAAAUGAGGUCUAAUCAAUAAAGUGCGUCGUAGUUCGGACUGGGGUCUGCAACCCGACCCCACGAAGCUGGAUUCGCUAGUAAUCGCGCAUCAGCCAUGGCGCGGUGAAUACGUUCCCGGGCCUUGUACACACCGCCCGU